GCACUUGUUUCUAUCCAUUGGAAGACCCACUAUCAACGUAUAUUUACGAGUAAAUAUACGUUGAUAGUGGGUCUUCCAAUGGAUAGAAACAAGUGC
rnacentral:sRNA from 1 species